rnacentral:lncRNA from 1 species
UGAUUAUGGACAAAAAUGGGCAUGAAUAGGAAAAUUUUUAUAGAAAAGCCUUAAGGGCAUUUUUGUCAUUUGGUUAAUAAAAGAAUAAAAAGGGAAAAUAAAGCCAAAAAUUUGUCCAUCUUCUCCAACCUUUGGCCAAAAUUCUCAAGCUCUCCAUAGCUAGGGUUUUGUCAUCUUUCAAGCUUAAUUGUAAGUACAUCCUAG